GCAAGAGCGAUGAAAAGGACAGGAAUUAUUUUUACGGUUUUCAGAGAGGGAAGGGUAAGCUGUGAUCUUCCUAGCUUAGGAAAAUAAUUUACCACCUUUGAGCUGUAUUGGGGAACUUAGUAUCUAAUACCGUUUAUGCUACGUUACAGCACCAAAGCCAUAAGUUUUUCUUUUUAGCUUAUGGGAAAUUGGGUGGAACCACGGGUAGAACGCACUCGUCCCUUCU
rnacentral:ncRNA from 1 species